rnacentral:rRNA from 1 species
CCUACGGGAGGCAGCAGUGGGGAAUAUUGGUCAAUGGGCGAAAGCCUGACCCAGCCAAGUCGCGUGAAGGAUGAAGGCUCUAUGGUUUGUAACCUUCUUUUAUAUGGGAGUAAAGUGUGGAACGUGUUCCUUUUUGUAUGUACCAUAUGAAUAAGCAUCGGCUAACUCCGUGCCAGCAGCCGCGGUAAUACGGCGGAUGCGAGCGUUAUCCGGAUUUAUUGGGUUUAAAGGGUGCGUAGGUGGUUAAGUAAGUCAGAGGUGAAAGUUUGUGGCUUAACCAUAAACUUGCCGUUGAAACUGGAUGACUUGAGUGUAUUUGAGGUAGGCGGAAUGCGGGGUGUAGCGGUGAAAUGCAUAGAUAUAACGCAGAACUCCGAUGGCGAAGGCAGCUUAUUAGACUGUAACUGACGCUGAAGCACGAAAGCGUGGGGAGCAAACAGGAUUAGAUACCCCUGUAGUC